CGGGCGGGCGGCGCGAUGUCCGGCGAGGACGGCCCGGGGGCGGGCCCGGGGGCGGCCGCGGCCGCGGCCCGGGAGCGGCGGCGGGAGCAGCUGCGGCAGUGGGGGGCGCGGGCGGGCGCCGAGCCGGGCCCCGGGGAGCGGCGCGCCCGCACCGUGCGCUUCGAGCGCGCCGCCGAGUUCCUGGCGGCCUGCGCCGGCGGCGACCUGGACGAGGCGCGCCUGAUGCUGCGCGCGGCGGACCCCGGCCCCGGCGCCGAGCUCGACCCCGCCGCCCCGCCGCCCGCCCGCGCCGUGCUCGACUCCACCAACGCCGACGGCAUCAGCGCCCUGCACCAGGCCUGCAUCGACGAGAACCUGGAGGUGGUGCGCUUCCUGGUGGAGCAGGGGGCCACAGUGAACCAGGCGGACAACGAGGGCUGGACGCCCCUGCACGUGGCUGCCUCCUGUGGCUAUCUGGACAUCGCCAGGUACCUCCUGAGCCACGGGGCCAACAUUGCCGCUGUCAACAGCGACGGGGACCUGCCCCUGGACUUGGCCGAGUCGGACGCCAUGGAGGGGCUGCUGAAGGCGGAGAUUGCCUUCCGAGGUGUGGAUGUGGAGGCAGCCAAACGGGCGGAGGAGGAGUUGCUGCUUCACGACACCAGGUGCUGGCUGAACGGGGGCGCCAUGCCGGAGGCCCGGCACCCCCGCACGGGGGCCUCUGCCCUGCACGUGGCCGCCGCCAAGGGCUACAUCGAAGUGAUGAGGCUGCUCCUUCAGGCCGGCUAUGACCCGGAGCUCCGGGAUGGGGACGGCUGGACCCCCCUGCACGCGGCGGCCCACUGGGGUGUGGAGGAUGCCUGCCGCCUGCUGGCAGAGCACGGUGGGGGCAUGGACUCGCUGACCCACGCGGGCCAGCGUCCCUGUGACCUGGCAGAUGAAGAGGUGCUGAGUCUGUUGGAGGAGCUGGCCCGGAAGCAGGAGGACCUGCGGAACCAGAAGGAGGCCUCCCAGAGCAGGAGCCAGGAGCCCCAGGUGCCUUCCAGCGGCAAACACCGAAGCAGGAGCUCUGUGUGUCGUCUGAGCAGCCGAGAGAAGAUCUCCCUCCAGGAUCUGUCCAAAGAGCGCCGGCCUGGGGGUGCAGGGGGGCCCCCAAUACAGGACGAGGAUGAGGGAGAAGAAGGCCUCACAGGGCCACCCUCUCCAGAAUCCAGAGCUCUCAAUGGAGUGUCUUCCCCGUCACCCCCUGGCCCUCAGGGCCCCAUGCCCCCAGAGGAGGCCCCCUUCUCCAGGCGCUUUGGCCUCCAGAAGACCGGCAGCUCUGGGACCCUGGGGCCCACAGACAGGCAGGGGGCCGAGGGCACCGCUGGGGCUGGGCUGCAGCGCUCAGCUUCCUCCUCGCGGCUGGAAGGCAGCUCCGCUCAGGCCAAGGAGCCCCGUCUGGCCAGAAUUACGCCGACACCCUCCCGCAAGCUGCUGGAGCCCUCCGCCUUGAUUUCGGAGCCUGAAUCCCCAGUGAAGCCCAGUGUCCCUGCAGCCUCCACAGCGCCCCCAGCCGACUCCCGGGACCGGCGGAGGUCCUACCAGAUGCCUGUGCGGGAUGAGGAGUCGGAAUCCCAGCGGAAAGCUCGCUCUCGUCUCAUGCGCCAGUCUCGGAGGUCCACACAGGGUGUGACUCUGACUGAUCUGAAGGAAGCGGAGAAGGUAGCAGGGAAGGCCCCAGAGCCAGAGAAGUCAUGCCUGCAGAGCCUGGACCCAUCUCGGCGACCCCGAGUCCCUGGGGUGGAGAACUCUGAUGGCCCUGCCCCGAGAGCAGAGGCGCCUGACGGGCAGGGGCAGGGACCCCAGGCCGCCAAGGAGCAUCGCAGAGUCGGCAAGGAGUGGAGGGGGCUUGCAGAGGGGGAGGAGGCGGAGCCGGCCGACCGCAGCCCAGACUCCAGCACUUCAGAGGGCGGCCCGUCACCUCGCAGGCAGCGGGACCCCGAACCAGCCUCGGAAGAGCCCGACGGAGGCUUCAGGAAGCUGUACUCAGAGCUGCGCAGCGAGAACGAGCGGCUUCGAGAGGCCCUGACGGAGACCACGCUGCGCCUGGCACAGCUCAAGGUGGAGCUGGAGCGUGCCACGCAGAGGCAGGAGCGCUUCGCAGAGAGACCGGCCCUCCUGGAGCUGGAGAGAUUCGAGCGCAGGGCCCUGGAGAGAAAGGCAGCCGAGCUCGAGGAGGAGCUGAAGGCCCUGUCCGACCUCCGGGCUGACAACCAGAGGCUCAAGGAUGAGAACGCAGCCCUGAUCCGUGUCAUCAGCAAACUCUCUAAGUGACUCUGGAGAAGGACCUUCCCCCGUACCCGUAUUUAUCCAGCUGCUUCUGCCACACGCAUCCCUUCCCCUGUGUGAGCACGAGUGACAGGGCUCCCAGGGGGUCUCUGAGAAGCCAUAGCCUCCCUUCGGGGCCUCCAGACUGUGAGGGGAGUACAGAGUCCCCAGGAGCCAAGGGGGGGCCCCCGAGGCCAGGAUGGAGGCGACAGGCCGAGCCAGAUGAGGAAGUGGAAGAACAGAGAGAAAGAGGCACGAUGGUGUCAAGUCACAGAGCAAGAAAGAGGCAUUGGCCAGACUGAGGGAGACCCAGGCAGGCUGGCCCCAGAGUCCGUGUCCUGAGUAAUUCUGGCCCAUGGUGCGGGCGGCUGGGGGUGAGCCUGAGCUACCGGGGCAGCUCUGACUGGCUUGCCUAUAGUACCUCCUAGAUUUCUAACUCCUCCAAGAAGGGAUUAUUAUUCUCGUUUUCUCUGAACUGGAGGCUCAGAGAAGGGAAGUCAAAAGCUGGGGGUGUGGGGUGUCUGGGUGGCUUAGUCGGCUAAGCGUCUGUUUAGCUCAGGUCAUGGUCC